rnacentral:rRNA from 1 species
UGCGUAGGCGGCUCGGUAAGUCUGGAGUGAAAGUCCUGCUUUUAAGGUGGGAAUUGCUUUGGAUACUGUCGGGCUUGAGUGCAGGAGAGGUUAGUGGAAUUCCCAGUGUAGCGGUGAAAUGCGUAGAGAUUGGGAGGAACACCAGUGGCGAAGGCGACUAACUGGACUGUAACUGACGCUGAGGCGCGAAAGUGUGGGGAGCAAACA